UACGUAGGGUGCAAGCGUUGUCCGGAGUUAUUGGGCGUAAAGAGCUCGUAGGCGGUCUGUCGCGUCUGCUGUGAAAACUCGGGGCUUAACCCCGGGCCUGCAGUGGGUACGGGCAGACUAGAGUGCGGUAGGGGAGACUGGAAUUCCUGGUGUAGCGGUGAAAUGCGCAGAUAUCAGGAGGAACACCGGUGGCGAAGGCGGGUCUCUGGGCCAAAACUGACGCUGAGGAGCGAAAGCGUGGGGAGCGAACAGG
rnacentral:rRNA from 1 species